rnacentral:rRNA from 1 species
AUUGAACGCUGGCGGCAGGCCUAACACAUGCAAGUCGAACGAGUGGCGGACGGGUGAGUAAUGUCUGGGAAACUGCCCGAUGGAGGGGGAUAACUACUGGAAACGGUAGCUAAUACCGCAUACCAUCGGAUGUGCCCAGAUGGGAUUAGCUUGUAGGUGAGGUAACGGCUCACCUAGGCGACGAUCCCUAGCUGGUCUGAGAGGAUGACCAGCAACACGGGAACUGAGAAACGGUCCCGACUCCUACGGGAGGCAGAAGUGGGGAAUAUUGCACAAUGGGCGCAAGUCUGAUGCAGCCAUGCCGCGUGUAUGAAGAAGGCCUUCUGGUUGUAAAGUACUUGCAGCGGGGAGGCGUUACCAGCAGAAGAAGCACCGGCUAACUCCGUGCCAGCAGCCGCGGUAAGAC